rnacentral:rRNA from 1 species
CUGGCGGCGUGCUUAACACAUGCAAGUCGAACGAUGAAGGGGAGCUUGCUCCCUGGAUUAGUGGCGAACGGGGUGAGUAACACGUGAGCAACCUGCCCCUAACUCUGGGAUAACGCUUCGAAAGGAGUGCUAAUACCGGAUAUGAGCCUGGAAGACAUCUUCUGGGUUGGAAAGUUUUUCGGUUAGGGAUGGGCAUGCGUCCAAUUAGCUAGUUGGUGAGGUAACGGCUCACCAAGGCAAUGAUUGGUAGGGGAACUGAGAGGUCAAUCCCCCACACUGGCACUGAGAUACGGGCCAGACUCCUACGGGAGGCAGCAGUAGGGAAUAUUGGGCAAUGGACGCAAGUCUGACCCAGCCAUGCCGCGUGCAGGAUGAAGGCGUUAUGCGUUGUAAACUGCUUUUAUACAGGAAGAAACGACUCUUGCGAGAGGCAUUGACGGUACUGUAUGAAUAAGCACCGGCUAACUCCGUG